CUUCUCCCUCUGCCUGUGUCUCUGCCUCUGUGUCUCUCAUGAAUAAAUAAAUAAAAUCUUAAAAAAAAAUAAAUUCCUUAAAAAAACCCACUGGAGAUCGGUUACAUGACAAUGUGAAUAUACUUAACAAUACUAGACUAUACACUCAAAAAUGGUUAAGAUAGUUAAUUUUAUGUGUAUUUUACUGUAAUUAAAAAUACAUAUUUUAAAACAUAUAUUCUGAACUAGUUAAUGAAAUACUAUGUCUGGGAUGUGUGUAUGUGCAUGUAUGUAGAUCACUGUAGUAUUUUCUCUACUUUUGUAUAUGAUUUAAGUUUGCUAUAAUAAAACAUUUUUAAAAUUCAGGCAAAUAUUCUACAUGCAAGCUAAGAUGAAAACAGGCAAGUGAUUCAUUAGUUUUUAUACUGAGCCUAGUUCAUUUCUGCAAAAAGUAUUUACUCAAUACUAAGCUUGAUGCUGAGAUACAGGACACAUCAUAACAACACAUUACAAAUUCUCUUUAAAGAUCUACAGCCCAGAGAAUUCAAUCACCCUUCCCGCCUUUACAGUUUUACAACAGCUGGAGCUGAUUUCCAUGGAGGAGCUGGGAAUGAGGGUACGAAAGAAUAUAUAUGAUGUUAUGCUACCAGAGAACCAUUUAAAUCUGCUGUUACAGGUUAUGAGAUACUGAAGUUAAGAGAGCAAAAGCCACUCUUUGCCAUUUCUGUAUUCUGAACAUUUACACCUCCAGGACUUGGUGGCUCGCCACCGGGCCACUGCGAACUACCGCUGAGUGAACGACGGAGGUGGGUGUCCUUAACCUGCACACUAAGAUGAGGACCCAAGGCUUAGAAACGCCGAAGCCAGCGACCAGGGCUGUGAUCUAGUUCUCAGGUCGAGCGACGAUCAAUCCGGGCGGCUCAGCGGUUUGGCGCCGCCUUCGGCCCAGGGCGUGACCCCGGAGACCCGGGAUCGGGUCCCGCGUCGGGCUUCCUGCGUGGAGCCUGCUUCUCCCUCUGCCUGUGUCUUGCCUGUG